rnacentral:rRNA from 1 species
GACGAACGCUGGUGGCGCGCUUAACACAUGCAAGUCGAGCGAAGCGGCGGACGGGUGAGUAACACGUGAGUAACCUGCCUUAGACAUUGGGAUAGCCUCGGGAAACCGGGAUUAAUACCAAAUGGUCGAAGAUGGACUCGCUGCCCAUUAGCUAGUUGGUGGGUAACGGCCCACCAAGGAGACGAUGGGUAGCCGGACUGGGAGGGUGAACGGCCACAUUGGGACUGAGAUACGGCCCAGACUCGACGGGAGGCAGCAGUGGGGGAGAUUGCACAAUGGGCGAAAGCCUGAUGCAGCGACGCCGCGUGGGGGAUGAAGGCUUUCGGGUUGUAAACCUCUUCGCUAUCGAACAUUUUUUUGGUGGGUUGAGGGUAGGUGGAGAAGAAGCGCCGGCUAACUACGUGCCAGCAGCCGCGGUAAUAC